rnacentral:rRNA from 1 species
GACGAACGCUGGCGGCGUGCUUAACACAUGCAAGUCGAACGGAAAGGCCCUGCUUUUGUGGGGUGCUCGAGUGGCGAACGGGUGAGUAACACGUGAGUAACCUGCCCUUUACUUUGGGAUAACUUCAGGAAACUGGGGCUAAUACCGGAUAGGAGCUCCUGCUGCAUGGUUGGGGUUGGAAAGUUUCGGCGGUUGGGGAUGGACUCGCGGCUUAUCAGCUUGUUGGUGGGGUAGUGGCUUACCAAGGCUUUGACGGGUAGCCGGCCUGAGAGGGUGACCGGCCACAUGGGGACUGAGAUAGGGCCCAGACUCCUAGGGGAGGAAGCAGUGGGGAAUAUUGCAAAAUGGGCGGAAGCCUGAUGCAGCAACGCCGCGUGCGGGAUGACGGCCUUCGGGUUGUAAACCGCUUUCGCCUGUGACGAAGCGUGAGUGACGGUAAUGGGUAAAGAAGCACCGGCUAACUACGUG